CCCUUUCGGUUUCCGGCCUGGGAGCCUCGCGCGCGGUCCAGCCUGGGGCACCUGCCCGCGUGCACCUGCCAGAAGGCGGAGCCUGUGCACAACGUCAGGCCCUUCCAGACCCCGCCCAGGCAGCCUCCCCGCCCGCGGUGAGUGCGGAGUGUGCGAGUGUGCGCGGUCUGCUUCCGGGGAGACCGAGGACGAGGACGCGGGUCGCCUGUGCGUCUCGCCCGCUGAGCUUCCUUCCUUCCGCCUGGGCAGGGGGAGGGCAGGGGCCUCGCCUGCCCCGCCUGUGGGAAGUAGGGCGAAUUUGUGCCAAGGAUGCGGUGCUCGCCAGAGAGAGUAGCUUUGGAGAUGCAUUAAGGUCGCUGCCGGCUUCUUCCUGAAUUAAGGACUGUGCGGGAGCUAAAGCCGGGGACCUCCCUGAGCCUCGAAUUCUGUUCUUUCCCACCCGUGUCCCUUCAGUCCCGUUCAUUGCUCUCAGUUCCUGCCCUCGCUCCCCUUGUGCCCUGAGGCUCACCCUGUCACCCCCUUCCUUAUUUAGCUUCUUACUCCUCCCCCACCCCUCCUCUUAAGUCCUCCCUGCUUAUGCCCAGCGAGACUGUUGGUUCUCAGCCAUGAAGCUCUGGCUAAACGCUGAUGUUCUCUUGUCAAGCGAGCCCAGUCAGCCAGCACGUGUCAUUUAAGUACCUGCAAAGUGCGCAGGUGGGAGGCACUGCCAUGAAGCGAAGCUGAGUUUGACAAGGUUCCACCCUCAAUGCACCUGCCGUCUAGGCGGGAAGAUACGGUGUCAGAUGUAACAAGGCAGGUUGGAUUUGGGCAGGCUCUAAAUAAGUGACUGAGUGACUUCACUUCUAGUCUAAAAGGCCACCGGAGUGUCCCGGGAAGGGAGAGGAGGCAGUAGGAGCCCAGGGCCUUUCCUAAACUGAGGCCCAUUCUCCAUAAAGGUCACACAUGCAGAGUUCUCUGCUGGUCAGUGCCAGGUGGGUGGAUCCCUUUUUUCCUACAAUGAAAAAUUAUUAUUGUAGUUUAUAAAGAUGAGUGACCCAGUAGAGGGAUAUUAGAACUUUAAUAAAUGACAUUCCAGAAAAAUGGAAUCAUCACUGAUAUAAAAACCACGCCUCCAGGGAUGGAAUAAAGUUCAGGGUUUUUUUUGUUUUUUUGUUUUAUGGCUGCACCAGCAGCAUACCAAAGCUCUCAGACCAGGGACUGAAUGCGAGCUGCAGCUGCAGCAAUGCCAGGUCCUUCGACCCACUGCCUUGGGCCAGGGAUCAAACCCCUGCCUCUGUAGCAACAGAGCCACUACAGUCAGAUUCUUAACCCAGUGUGCAACAGCGGGAACUCCUUUUUUUUUUUUAAUAAUGAAUAUUCAGGUUUAGAGGUGAGCUGAGGGAGGACCUGGGAUCUGAACUGUAAUAAUAAUAAAAAAAAAGAACAAGGAGUUCCUUGGUGGCUCAUCAGUUGUUAAGGAUCUGGCAUUGUCACUGCUGUGGCUUGGGUUUGAUCUCUGGCCCGGAAUUUCUGCAUGUUGUGGGUGCAGCCAAAACAAACAAACACAAACAAAAAAACAAGAAAUGGGAGGAAGAAGAAUUGUGCCCAUAUACUUCUGAAUAAAUAGAUUUUUUUUUUAAGGGCCACAUCAGAGGCAUAUGGAAGUUCCCACGCUAGGGGUUGAAGCGGAGCUACAGUUGCCUGCCUACACCACAGCCACAGCAAUGUGGGAUCUGAGCCGUGUCUGUGACCUACACCACAGCUCACAGCAACGCUGGAUUCGCUACCCACUGGGCAAGGCUAGGGAUCAAACCUGAAUCUUCAUGGAUACCAGUUUGGUUUGUUAUUGUUGAGCCACAACGGGAACUCCAAGUAGGAAUUUAAAAAAAAAAAAAAGCCAGCAACACUUCCUAAAGUGUUUCUUAGUGGAGACUCUGCUGUUUUCAGGGUUUCUCAGUCUCAGCAGUAGUGCCAUUGCAGGUCCGCUAAAACUGCCCUGGGCACUGUAGGCUGCUGAGAAGCAUUGCAGGCCUCUAUCCGCUAGAUGUCAGUAGCACCUUCUCCAACUCCCCAUGUGAUGGUGAAAAUUGUCUCCCAGAUUUUCCACAUGUGACCUGGGGGACAAACUCAGCCUGGCUGAGAACCACCACUUUCAGUCCUCAGUCCAUGCUCUGCAGAGCAGCCCAGAGAUGUCUGCAGGUGGCCACCCCACUCUCCGGCUUCCUGCCUUCAGAGGUCCAACCCUGCACCUUCCAUACAGGCCCUUUGUGCUAUGAGCCCUGCCAGCCUUCCAGUCCCUCUUCCCCCUCCUUCCUGCCUCGCACCCUUUGCUCUAGUAUUGCACAACUACUUGUAGCUCUUUCCCACACAGCCAUGGCUAGUUUGUGUCCUCACACUCACACUGUUUUCUCGCUGCAGUUGCUGAUCUCAUAAAUGCUCCCCAACCUUUAAGGCUUGGCUUGGUGUGGGCAUCACCUGGAACUUACUAGAAGCCCUUUCCCUUCCCCAGCUCUGAAGGCUAGUUCAGGCCCCAGCUUUGUGCUGUGGCUUUCUGCAGACCUCUGUCUUGGAACCUCAUCAGCCUAUCCUGUAACUGUCUUUCACUCCUACUGACCCAGCUCCAGAAGGGCAAGCCUGUCUUAUUCAAAUUUGGGGCACAGUGCCUAGCAUAUGGCAUUUACCCAGUAGUGGUUUUUUUGGUUUUGUUUUGUCUUUUUCUUUUAGGGCCGAACCCGUGGCAUAUGGAGGUUCCCAGGCUAGGGGUCCAAUCGGAGCUGUAGCUGCCAGCCUACACCACAGCUGCAGCAAUGCUGGAUCUGAGUCGUGUCUGCGACCUACACCACAGCUCACGGCAACACCAGAUCCUUAACCCACUGAGCGAGGCCGGGGAUCAAACCCGUGUCCUUGUGAAUACUAGUCGGAUUUGUUAACCACUGAGCCAUGACAGGAACUCCGCCAGUAGUGUUUAAUGAAGUGAGCCACAAAGAACAGUUAGAAGUACAGUAGGUUGGGAGUCAAAACACCAAGAUUCUAGUCCCAGGUCUGCUACUAGCUAGCUGAUUGCUUCCCUUUGAUUCCUCAUCUGAAGAAUCAGAAACGGACUAAAUGUCUAAGGGUCUUUAUAAGUUAGAAUUGCUGAUUCUAGGAUGUUCUCUUUUUUCAUGAAUAUUUCACAUAAAAGUGUUUCCCAGAGUUCCUGCUGUGGUGCAGUGGGUUAAGGAUCCAACUGCAGUGGCUUGGGUGGCUGAGGAGGGGCAAGUUCGAUCCUUGGCCUGACAGUGGGUUAAGGAUCUGACGUCCUCGCAGAUGCUGCUCAGAUUUGAUCCUUAGCAGGGAAACUAAUGUAUGCCGAGUGCGGCCAAAAAAAAAAGUGUUUCCCAAAGGCCAAUGCCACCCUCUUCCUCCCUCUUCUGAAUGUAUACGGCUUCCUCUAACCUUUUUCUUUCUUUUUUAACUUCCUCUAAUCUUUUUCAAGGUCUUUUCCUAUUGACUAUUUCAUUUGACCCCAGAAGUAACUACGGAAGCCUGGUGGAUGUAGUUUUGAACAAGAGCUAUUCUUCCAAACAGAUGACGUAAAAGUAAACUCUCUACCAGGUGUCACCAGCACAGAAGACAGAACACGAAUUUAUAUUUAUAUGUGCAGAAAGGCCUUUCAGGCUAGUGUGACGGUGGAGUGGGAGAUGGAUGAAGUCUUGUCACUGAAUACCUUAUAUUGCUGGAUUUUAGAGCUCUGUGAAUAUAGUAUAUAUUUUAAAAAAUAAAGAAUAAAACCAUAUGUAUAAAAUAAGCUACAAAGAUAUAUAGUACAGCAAAGGGAAUAUAGCCAAAGCUGUAAAUGGAGUAUAACCUUUAAAAAUUGUCAAUCACUAUAUUAUACAACUGUAAUUUAUAUAAUAUUGUACAGAAACUAUACUUAAAUAAAU
rnacentral:lncRNA from 1 species